rnacentral:rRNA from 1 species
CGCUUCCCGCCUAAAAAAAUGGGAAGUCAAGUCUGCCCGGUGGACAUUACUAAACGGCAGCAACUAGUUUGCACUAAGGUAGCGCGAUAAUUUGUCUUUUAAUUGGGGGAUGGUAUGAAAGGCUUGUCUUAAAUUUCUUGUCUCUAAAAGAUGAAGUGAAGUUUCCUUUUAGAUGAAAAGGUCUAAAUAAAAAUAAAAGACGAGAAGACCCUGUCGAGCUUAAUAAAACUAAUAGGAUAGAGCUUUAGUUAAAAUGUAGUUGGGGAAAGCUAGGCUUGAGAUAAUAAGCCUGUAGAAGAUGAAGAUCCUCUUUGAGAGAAAGCAGCAAAAGCUACCGCAGGGAUAACAGCGUAAUUCUGCUCCAGUGGCAUAGUCACUUAGAGGGGAGUUUGCGACCUCGAUGUUGGAUUAGAAAAACUUUUUGGCUAGUCGUCAAAAUAGUGAGACUGUUCGUCUCUUAAACUUCU